rnacentral:lncRNA from 1 species
GGACGUUUGGGGUCUGGGCCAGCUCUCUAGACAAAAAUGGCUCACAUUCUUUCCCUAAGACCUCCCUAGUCACCCCAUCAUGACUGCUUCAUUCUCCUGUUCAAGGCACUGGUCCCCCAUCAAGUCCACGGGUGAGCAGUACCUGGCUAAGUAUCUGGUUCUGGACACAGCUCCUCUUGGUCUGAGACAUUUUGAGAAAAGAAAAGAGGUUAUCUUCCACCCCUUCCAGUACAGAGCUGUGACAGGAAUAGGAGACUCUCUGCAGACACCCUUAGGGAACACUGGUACCCCAGAUUCUUGAUUGGGUUCCCCUCAGCCCCCGAGAUCCUUUUCCUGCCUUUCUGUUCUGUCCCUGAGCUCAAUGGACCUCCUGGGCCAUACUACUUUCAUAGGAAAUAGCUAGAAUCUGAGCCAAGUUUGAGGUGUCCGAGACCUGUGACUUAGUGCAUCUGCUCCUUCAGUCUGCACACGGACAUCUGAGGAAAGUGUCACCCAACAACUCUGUCCUGUCUGUAGCCUUGCUGUGACCUGCUCUAGGGUCUGGACUUCAGGAUGCUGUUUUUAUAGUGCUUCUGGGAAGCAGACCUGCGGGUAUCACUAGAGAGCUGUGAACUGGAUGGCCUCCAGGCAGGGCCCUGGAUAUUUCUGGGCCAGUCUUAGUCUGGUUUUGCUGCUAUAACAAAACACCAGGAACCGGGUAGUUUACAGAGCACGUGGACACCUCCCCAGUUUGGAGGCUACAAAUCUGAGACCAAGGUAUGGCAUCUGGUGAGAGUCAGCUUGCUGUGUCCUCAGGUGGCAGAAGAUGGCGGGGAGAGAGAUAAAUACUGUGUCCUCACAUUGUGGAAAGUAGGGGGUGAAAGGGAAGAGACAUUCUAUCUGAGAUGACGGGGCUAAAGAUUGGAGGAGAGAAUACACCCCUUUUGCUGCCUUUACAGCGGUGCCAAGUCCUCUCCAGUCUAAUUCUGAGAGUCUGCCUGCAAAACCGCUGUCAGGAUUGUUUCUCCCCAAUCCUGCUAUGAUGGGGACAUGGGGGCUGUUACAGAAGCUUCCCAAUAUAACUAGGGUGUUAGUUGGCUCCAUCUUUACUACGAGUCCAUUCUGCCCAUUCGGUGGCUGGAAUCUUCAUCACACUCCACACUGAGAUGACAGCGAUGGCCAUGCCAGAAAAGGGGACUGGUCCCUCGCUGCCCUGAAGCAAGUCCCUGGCUGGCAAAGUGCCUUGGUCUGCUGACUCCUGAGUGGACUGUAUUAUAGUUCCUGGCUGCCUCUUGUCAUAUUUUCCAGGGGCGGAGAAGGUUUAUAGGAGGAAGAAAGCCAGAUUGUAGCCCCCACCUUGCUUUGAGAUUUUUGUUCCAGAAUCUCCAGUCAGUGUUUUCCAGAAAUGUCUGGCUGGCACCACUGUGGGGAAGCUGGCUGUUGAGGAAGCCAGGGAGCCGCCUUCAGUACUGAGAUGAACAGGGUGAGUCGGGCACAGCAAUAAACGUGAAGGCCUCAGCGCCUCAGUGUCGCUAAAAACAGCAGUCCAUGUGUGCAUUGGAAAGACACUCCAAAUUCAACCCCUUUGUGAUGAAGGCUCAAGAAGACAGUUGGCUCAUCUACUGGCUAGUUUGGGGUCAACUUGACACAAGCUAGAGUCAUCAGAGAGGAAGAAGCCUCAGUUGAGGAAAUGCCUCCCUGAGAUCCGGCUGUAAGGCAUCCUCUCAGUUAAUGAUCAAUGGGAGAGGGCCCAGUCCAUUGUGGGUCCAUCCCUGGUUCAGCCCAGUCUAUCCAUGGGCUGAUGGGCCUGUUUUUUCUUUAAGAAAGCAGACUGAGCAAGCCAGUAAGCAGCACCCCUCCAUGGCCUCUACAUCAGCUCCUGCCUCCAGGAUCCUGCCCCGUUAGAAUUUUUGCCCUGAUUUCUUCCAAUAACGAACAGCAAUGUGGAAGUGUAAGCUGAAUAAGCCCUUGGUCAUUGUUUCAUUGCAGCAAUAGAAACCCUAAAAUGAGACAGGUCACUUCAGCAUCAGUGAUGUGGAGCUGUCCUGCUAACCAUCUUUAUAUGCUAGUUAGCCAUGCUGGUCUGUGGUCGUGUCGCAAAUAAACGCUGAAUACGAGACAUCAGAAACAAGGAACCAUGUGACUGGGAGCCAAGGAAAGAAGCAAAUCUCUCCUUAGAGCCGGGAACCCAUCCAACCUCUCCUCCAGCAGGUUCCCCAGAAAUGAGAGUCAUUUGUGAGCAAUGCCAGAUGCUGGGUUGCAACCUGCAAACAUUCUCUAAGAUAACCUCCCAGAACUGGCCAUGUUUGGCCCGGAGGCCAUGCAAGCAUUGUAUAUUCAGAGCUGGACUCAAGGAUUCACAUACGAGGGAAAAUAAAACGGUGUUUUUCC